CCUACGGGAGACAGCAGUGGGGAAUAUUGCACAAUGGGGGAAACCCUGAUGCAGCGACGCCGCGUGAGUGAAGAAGUAUCUCGGUACGUAAAGCUCUAUCAGCAGGGAAGAAAAUGACGGUACCUGACUAAGAAGCCCCGGCUAACUACGUGCCAGCAGCCGCGGUAAUACGUAGGGGGCAAGCGUUAUCCGGAUUUACUGGGGGUAAAGGGAGCGUAGACGGCAGCACAAGUCUGGAGUGAAAUCCCUGGGCUUAACCCCGGAACUGCUUUGGAAACUGUGCGGCUGGAGUGCAGGAGGGGUAAGCGGAAUUCCAAGUGUAGCGGUGAAAUGCGUAGAUAUUAGGAGGAACACCAGUGGCGAAGGCGACUUACUGGAAUGUAACUGACGUUGAGGCGCGAAAGCGUGGGGAGCAAACAGGAUUAGAUACCCUUGUAGUC
rnacentral:rRNA from 1 species